AAAAAGCUUGCUCCCGGUGAGGCUCGAACUCACGACCUUCAGAUUAUGAGACUGACGCGCUGCCUACUGCGCUACGGAAGCACGGAAA
ensembl:ncRNA C16D9.14 ncRNA